UUGCCUUUGAAGAGAGAUUGCCUUAACGUGUUUGGUUCUUCAAAGGGAUUUGGGGAUACACUAGGGAUUGACAUGAAAUUAUUAGAAUAGUUGCUCUGAUAUUUUUUGGCUAGAUAUGGGUUUGAAAUUUCCCUCUGGAAUAUCACAUCUGAGAAAGUCCUUUUUUUUAAAUUUGAUAUUCAUUGCCAUGUUCAUUUUACUUUGUCCUGUGCGUGAUUCUUCUGUACUCUAUUUUGAUAUAUUUGCUUCAUAAUGUAUGCUGCUAUUUUAGCCAUUAAUGAAGGAGCUUGAUGAA
rnacentral:misc_RNA from 1 species